rnacentral:rRNA from 1 species
AUACGGAGGAUCCGAGCGUUAUCCGGAUUUAUUGGGUUUAAAGGGUGCGCAGGCGGGAGAUUAAGUCGGCGGUGAAAUUUUGCAGCUCAACUGUAAAAGUGCCUUCGAAACUGGGUUCCUUGAGUGUAGGUGGAGGAGGCGGACUUUGUGGUGGAGCGGGGAAAUGCAUAGAUAUCACGAGGAACUCCGAUUGCGCAGGCAGCUUACUAAACUACUACUGACGCUCAGGCACGAAGGCGUGGGGAUCAAACAGGAUUAGAUACCCUGGUAGUCCACGCAGUAAACGAUGAUUACUAGCUGUUUGCGAUACAAUGUAAGCGGCUGAGCGAAAGCGUUAAGUAAUCCACCUGGGGAGUACGUUCGCAAGAAUGAAACUCAAAUGAAUUGACGGGG